UGCUGUUGCUGAUGGUGGUGGUGGUAGUGGUGGAGGUCUAACGUUUGUAAGGGGAAUACGUGGGGCUUUGAAAGGAAAGGCGGGGUAACAUGAUGGCCGCGGCUACCGCCAAAGUAGGGGAAGUAAGACAUUUAUCCAUAAACAAAACUACCAGCAUACUGCGAUAAAUUCUACUUAAGCCUUUUAAGAACUCGUGAUAAUGCUGUCGUCCGUUCCAGAUGUGAGUAACCCUGCGGUCAACCCUACACACACUUCUGCAUUAACUCACGGGGUUGAGAUAGUUAAUUCUCGAUUGGAACGAAUAGCUCGAACGGAAUCGCUCUCGUUCUUCAUUACGCGAUAGUGGCAAAGAAAUAGAAGGACGGACAGCCUCGACUGGCGAGCUCCGGAAAGGGUUAAAGGCGUUCAGGUACUCAACGUUGGAAUUUCGAAGCGGCAGGAGGAUCAAUGCAGAGAAGUAACGCGCUCUACUUGGUGUAUUCGGACUAGAAAAUAGCGUUCGCAUUCGGUGUUGACUACGGGCGUUCUAACCCUUCGACAACUCGAACGAGAAUGCCCUUGGUUGGAUGUACAUAGCUUUACAGGAAGUCACUCUCUGCCUUCGUUGAAUGACCAGCACAUAGCUAUCUCUACGCGAGUGAGCGAACGAACGAACGAACGAACGAACGAGCGAACGAAUGGAUGAACAGACGGACGGAUGGACGGACUAGCGGACAGAGAGGGUGGUGGUGGUGGUGGUGGUGUUACUAGUAGUGGUAGCUGCCUGGACAGAGAAAUGAGAAUAGUGUCGGUCUACGAGCUGAGUGGAGUUGGUGAGCAAAUUGCUCAAAGUAAUUAAUCGCUUUUGCCGGGUUGGCUAGCCACGUUGCCGGCUGAAGCUCAUCCAAGGGGUGGCACCAGGUACCCUACGAAAAGCCAUCGAAGGACUUGCCCAAAAUGGCCGACUUAACGAGUUCGCUGAUCUAGGAAUUUCGACUUUUUCCAUCGAUCGGCGAUGAGAAUCUUCUUGUGCUUGAUUACCCUUCGAUCCGCCCUCUUCGUUCGAACGUGAAAUCGUUUGACUCUGAUAGCGAUAGAGGAAAGAUAUUUUAGUAGCACAGUUUUGAGGAUGGAGUCAGAUAUGAAAAAUCCAUCUAAUUUCAGCUCAUUAGUAAUUCAUCUUAUUAUACCUAUAAGAGAAAAAUAAAGUCCUCUUAUUUCUUAAAGCCUUCUAUAUUGAGAAAUUAUAAUAAAACUUUACAAAAAAAUUUUCCAGAUAUGUUGAAUUAUAUACACUGUAAUUAUCAUUCUCAAAGGCUUAAAUAUCUCGUCAAUGCACGUGGAGAAGUACCAUUCCAGAAUAACCUCUGCGUCGCGAUAUUCUCGGCUGGAAAUACUAGAGUAUUCCGAGACAAGUACGGCAUAGAGUAGGGAGUCCUCGUUUUCGUGAAAGAGUCCUUCGAUAUCGUGCGUAUACGUCGCGUUGCAGAUCCGUAGGAAAAAGAGAAGAAAGAGGGAAAGAGAGUAGGAUAUCUAGAGAGAAAGAGAGAGCGCAAGCGCUUUGCCGUAGAGUUCUGGAAGGGUGAAAAGAGAGAGAGAGAAAAUAUAAGGCAAGGAUAGGUUGGCUAUUUGAGACGAAUGUGAGGAACAAAGAUAAUGGGAGAGAGAGAGAGAGAGAGAGAGAGAGAGAGAGAGAGAGAGAGAGAGAGAGAGAGAAAGAGAGAGGGAAGGAGAGAAGUGACACAGAGCUGGAGAAGGACGAAAGUACUUCAUGAAAGAAGGAGGGGAAAAGUGGAGUACGGAAAAGGUGGAAAAGUGCCAGGAAAACUCCCCACCCACGUCGAAAAUCUCGAACGUUUGCGACCCUACCGUCAGGAGUCGUUGCCGCGAGCUUUUACGCGGCUAACGCGUCGAAGAAUAAGAAGACGAAGAAGAAGGGAUUUGAAGAAGACGACUUUACACCUCUGGAAGGCGACUACUUUACCACCACUACUAGCAACACCACUACCACUAGCAUUACCAGUUUCAUUUCCACCACUACUACUCUUGCUUUCUCGAGAGAGAGAGAACUGGGAAGGGUGGUGAGGGGUUUUCCAUCCGCGGAGCUGGGCGCGACUAACCUCUAUCGAUCGUAAGAAGACUUCCACACCUACGAUCCUCACACUUCUACCAAGCCAAGCCAUUUCUACCGGGUGAAUUGUGAGCAAAUAAAUAACGAAAUGCUAAUGAUCAGUAUCAAUGAAUAUGCGACA